rnacentral:rRNA from 1 species
CACGCAGUAAACGAUGAUUACUAGCUGUUUGCGAUACAAUGUAAGCGGCUGAGCGAAAGCGUUAAGUAAUCCACCUGGGGAGUACGUUCGCAAGAAUGAAACUCAAAGGAAUUGACGGGGGCCCGCACAAGCGGAGGAACAUGUGGUUUAAUUCGAUUCUACGCGAGGAACCUUACCCGGGCUUGAAAUGCAUCUGACCGGGCCGGAAACGGUCUUUCCCAGCGAUGGGCAGAUGUGUAGGUGC